CGCUCUCGCACACUGUCUCAAUAUCUCAAUACGAUACUUGCCUUCGAUACUCUCUGGAUACUAUUACGUCAUGCACAUUUGUCAACACUUAAUCACUAAUUCAGUCAGUUACCAUGCAAAUCAAAUAGGUUAAAUCAAAUAGAAUCUUGUUAAAUCAAACUAAAGUGAAUUAUUAAUCAUCUUCAAAUAGUUUGUAAACUGUCCGAGGUUCAAUCUGAGCUUCUCUUGAGUGUCAAUGCCGCUUUUGAACAGCUGGAGGGUGAGCGGCUACAUAGUAAAGCACAACACUAACACUCCAGUUAUUCAAACUAGGGAUCCAAGGAUAGUGCAGAGUUUCAAAGACGAACGCUAUAUUGACAUACUUAUUAAUUGAAUAGUUUUUCAAGCGUGGUUUAUAGCUUUAAUCACAUGUCGAUAUGACGUAAAGUAGUAGCGCGCGUGACUGUUACAACAGUAAAAAUGCUAAGAUCUGGUUUAAAUCUAAUACUUUAAGAUUAAAGAAUGACGAGAGUUAUGUAAUAUUAUUUAUUUCCUCAUAUAAUAUUAGUCACAAGGCAUAAUUUCUGUUAUAAUGUUGUAAAGUUUCCAAUUGAAAACGACACUAUAUAGGUCGCCGGCAACCUAGGUGACUUGUUUAAAUCUGUGAUUAUUCCCACCAUCCUUUUAGCGCCCAUAUUGUACACUUUGGCUUUUGUCUCAGUGACAACUUGAGAAAAUAGCUGUAUAAGAUAUGUUAUAAAUAAUAAGCACUACGACGUUGUAUUCCAUUACAAAAAAGGAACAUAAAUCUAAAACACAGAAACGUAAAUAAGAGGGGAAAAACUCAUUAAAAUGACGCAUUUCAUCCGCAUUUUAUCCCCAUAUCCGUUCCGUGAAUCCGCAUCCGCUUUCCGCAUUUUAAUCUAAUUAUGACGUGUUCACAAUAACAAGUCUCAUUGACCUUUGAUAUAUUUCGAAGGUCACGUUGUUUCACGAGUCAUUUUCAGCUUUUCGCAUGUAUUCAUGAUGUAACUUUAGAUUUCAAUAGUUUCACAGUUAUUGCAGUGUUUAUAUAGCAGUUUUGACAAGCUUUGAUACAGAUAGAUUCUCGUAAGAUCUGGUAGAGUUUUCGUUGCACUGAACACGAGUUUGCACCGUUGUGCUAUACACGUAAACAAAGAUUUUCUCAAUAUUUAUGUCUGAAAUGUUUAUACAUUUGAAAACACGGUCUCGCUG